UACGUAGGGUGCGAGCGGUAAUCGGAUUUACUGGGCGUAAAGCGUGCGCAGGCGGCCCGUUAAGACAGGUGUGAAAUCCCUGGGCUCAACCUAGGAAUUGCGCUUGUGACUGGCGGGCUCGAGUACGGUAGAGGGGGGUGGAAUUCCUGGUGUAGCAGUGAAAUGCGUAGAGAUCAGGAGGAACACCGAUGGCGAAGGCAGCCCCCUGGGCCUGUACUGACGCUCAUGCACGCAAGCGUGGGGAGCAAACAGG
rnacentral:rRNA from 1 species